rnacentral:rRNA from 1 species
CAGUCGCCGCGGUAAUACGAAGGGUGCAAGCGUUAAUCGGAAUUACUGGGCGUAAAGCGCGCGUAGGUGGUUCGCCAAGUUGGAUGUGAAAUCCCCGGGCUCAACCUGGGAACUGCAUCCAAAACUGGCGAGCUAGAGUAUGGUAGAGGGUGGUGGAAUUUCCUGUGUAGCGGUGAAAUGCGUAGAUAUAGGAAGGAACAUCAGUGGCGAAGGCGACCACCUGGACUGAUACUGACACUGAGGUGCGAAAGCGUGGGGAGCAAACAGGAUUAGAUACCCCAGUAGUCCCUGUCUCUUAUAC